AUGGAACCUCUUAGUGAUGAUGAUUCCAAAAGGCUGUUUUAUAAGCGGAUAUUUUCUCUAGAGAGUGGAUGUCCUCCUGAAUUUGAAGAAUUAUCUGGAGAGAUAUUGAAGAAAUGUGGUGGUGUUCCAUUAGCCAUCAUUACCAUAGCUAGCCUGUUGGCUAGUGGUCAGCAUGUAAAACCAAUGAAUGAGUGGCAUGUUUUGCUAGAGUCUAUUGGUCGUGGACUUACUGAAAACCGUAGUGCCAAGGAGAUGAUAAGGAUAUUAUCAUUUAGCUAUUAUGACCUGCCUUCGCAUAUGAAGACAUGCUUAUUAUAUCUAAGCAUGUUUCCAGAAGAUAGCAAGAUCAUCAAAGAUCAAUUGAUAUGGAUGUGGAUUGCUGAAAGCUUUGUCCAAUGUGAAAAAGAAAAUACCAAUCUCUUUGAGGUCGGAGAAACUUACUUCAAUGAGCUUGUGAACAGAAGCUUGAUCGAGCCGUUAUUUGAUAUUUAUGGCUCUAUACAUGCUUGUCGCAUACACGAUAGUGUACUUGAUCUAAUUUGUUCCUUGGCGAGUGAAGAGAACUUUGUUACUAUAGUGAGUGGUAUUAGUGAUACCAUUUCUUCGGAGGGCAUUGUCCGUAGAUGGUCCCUCCAAAAUGUUAGAAAAGAAGAAGGUCAAACCAGGCCUCUCAGGUCUAGGAGUAUAGGACAAGCAAGGUCUGUUGUUACAUUUGCACCUGCUAUUGAUAUAAUGCCACCAUUGUCAAGCUUUGUUGUUUUGCGUGUAUUAGAUUUGAAUUUGUAUGGAUAUGAUGGUACUAAGGAGGACCAUCUCAACCUUCAAGAGCUGGGGUGUUUACUUCACUUGAGGUACCUACGUCUAUCUGGACAUGGAAUUACUGAGUUGCCGAAAGAGAUUGGAAAGUUGAAGUUUUUGCAGGUGUUGAUUGUGCCUGGCUCUACAAGGCUGCCGUCGACUGUGAUUAAGCUCACAAGAUUGAUGUGCCUACGUACUAAUGAUGGGGGGUCUCAGCUUCCAGAUGGUGUUGAAAACCUGAGAUCAAUGGAAGUGUUGAAUAAGAUCAAGGUUGGCUCUGUAAGCAUUGUGCAAGAACUGGGCAGCAUGCACAGACUUAGGGAGCUGAAUAUUCAGUUUGAGAGCUCAGAGCCUCUGGAAGCUUUUGUGGAGUCACUAGGGAAAAUGCAAAAGAUCCAGCGUGUAGAAAUCAGUGCCAAGUGUAAGCAUGAAGUUUCAAUGGAUCUGUUGGGUGAAGGUUGGGUGCCCCCGGCAAGUCUUCGGGAGUUUUCCAUGGACAAAGGUGUCAGAUUAUCUACGCUGCCAGCAUGGAAUCCAUAUCAUCUGUCACAACUCUCCAAAUUAGAAAUAAAUGUAGGGGAUGUGCGACAGGAGGAUCUGGAAUUUCUUGAAAGGUUACCGGCUCUUCGGAAUCUCUGGUUAUUUAGCGACAACCAAAGGCCGCUAGUCGUUUGCGCCGAGGGGUUCCGUUGUUUGGAAAGGUUCACCUUCAUUUCCAAGUCACCGAGACAACUACUGUUCCAGCGUGGAGCUUUGCCCAAGGCCGAAGACGUUUAUGUCCUUAUCGGUUGGCGGGUGGCAAAAGAGGAAGCAGCUGGCAGCGGUGGCGAUUGGUUUGACGUUGGCAUGGAGAACCUUGCGUCCCUUCGGGAGGUCCAAGUCUGGUUCGACCGUUCAGGAGUGACGAUCGGGGAGGCCAAGCAAGCGGAGGCUGCGCUGGAGAAGGCCCAUCCUAACCGUCCCACCUUUUACAUCUUCUUCGACAAGUCCAUACCAGAAGAUGCUCGCGAUGAGGAUGUCUACACCAAGCGUGUUGACAGCAGCGAUCGACGAUGA
rnacentral:rRNA from 1 species